UUUCCUGCGCUGUGAUUGGCGAUGCCUAUAUUAGGCGAAGACCCAAUCCCAUAUAAAGGCAGGAUAGACUAUUCACAUGCAGUUUGACGGACUCCUCCCCACAGCCGGUUCGUCGACGCCAUGGCUACGGAAACACAGAAGAUCCACAGAAAGACCGCCAGCAGGUUUUCGGGGUGUAGAAGAGAGACCGAGUAUUUACCUCGUUUGCGUUUACAGGGAGUAUAGAAUUCAAAGAUUGCCCUUUUAGUGUCAUGAAGAUUUCGUAUUUUAUUUUGCUUUGUGAAACUGCGAGAAGUUGUUGCUGCGUAGGGACGAAUGUGAGUUGUCUGCGUUUUGCACGUGUAUCGCUCUUUGUCAUGCUGAGGUCCGUUCUUCUCGCAGACACUGGCGUGCCGGGCAUUGUGUAUGGGUUAUGGAAGAAAGCAUGCCUCACUGCGAGAAUAGACGCUUAUUUUGGGCGUUUGUUAGACAUCACAGGUAUAUGCAGUACUGUCUGAAAGGACGUCGACGGAGAAGGCAAGUGACACCGCCGGCACGGCCGACCCCAGCAUGACUGACGCAGCAGCCUUGUGAAUGAGCCGGACGUUCCAUAGCAGAGCACCAGUAACACUGUUUUUGACAGUGAGACUCACCAGGACAAGUCUGCGAUAUCUACGACCUUCUGGGAACGGGUAGGGAAAAUUGCCGACAACAGAGAAGAUAGAGUAGUUUCCUACGGGCGUAGGAUUUACAAGCCAAGCAGGAGCCUUUAUGAAGCGGUACAACGUUGUUCCAGUUUCCGCACGCUCGGAGCAGAGCCCGACCUUUUUUUAUCAAGAAAGAGUCGGAGGCUUCAACUUAUCACUGGUAGCUCUAUGGGAAGCAUUCAGUACAACGCGCGUGGGUGUGAUGCGAGGACGUCUGAAAAUACCACCUCAAGUUCAGCAACUUAGACCCACCAGCCAGCUGAGAAGUACACGCAGCAAACCAUAUGGGAGGACGGCGUACAGGCAGGGAUGGUGGCCAAGCAAAGGGAUCAAGAAGUUUAAAACCAGACUUAAAAUUCAGAAACAGAGAGACAACAGCCCCAGAAUUUUUUACUCUCUCGUACGUUCGAAUUGUGACCUGAAUUUCCAUUUUGCCUUAAAGUAACAGAGUAUGUUAGAGGGCGUCUGUUAAACGCUUUCUUCGUAAAAAAAAAGAACAUCUAUACUGUCUUAGAGUUCACUGUAGGGAUGACCACUGUAUUUGCUUGUUUUUAAUUAGAACACAUCAACGUCAGAAGUUGUCCAGGAAGUGACAUGUUUUUCGUUGUAAUGUUGAGAAACAACUAGUUAUUAAAUCGGUUUGCUGUUUUCGUCUGUCUCCAUUUUCUUUACUUGGUAGUACGUUCCAGCGCUUAUGGUUUAUAAGUAAUUUGAAAAGGAGCAUGUUUAAUAUAAAGUGCCAUGGAUAAAUA